GACUCGAUGGCGAAUGGUCCGCGUCUGCGUUUCAUUCGCCUGAAUGAACCUUUCCGUAGAAGGUGCCUGUUCGAAUCAGGCUCGGGUCU